GAUGAACGCUAGCGGCAGGCCUAAUACAUGCAAGUCGAACGAUAGUCUUGUCUUCGGAUGAGAUGAGAGUGGCGCACGGGUGAGUAACGCGUACACGACCUACCUUACAGAGGGGGAUAGCCUUGGGAAACUGGGAGUAAUCCGCCAUAGUGUAUAUGAUCUGCAUGGAUGGUAUACUAAAGCUUCGGCGCUGUAAGAUGGGUGUGCGUCUGAUUAGGUAGUUGGUAGGGUAACGGCCUACCAAGCCAACGAUCAGUAGGGGGCUGAGAGCGUGGUCCCCCACACGGGUACUGAGACGCGGACCCGACUCCUACGGGAGGCAGCAGUAAGGAAUAUUGCUCAAUGGCCGAAAGGCUGAAGCAGCAACGCCGCGUGGAGGAUGAAAUACUUUUGUAUGUAAACUCCUGUAAGAAGGGAAAAUAUUCCGAUUUAUCGGGAUUGAUUGUACCUUCAGAGUAAGCCCCGGCUAACUACGUGCCAGCAGCC
rnacentral:rRNA from 1 species